rnacentral:rRNA from 1 species
GACGGAGGAUGCAAGUGUUAUCCGGAAUCACUGGGCGUAAAGCGUCUGUAGGUGGUUUAAUAAGUCAACUGUUAAAUCUUGAGGCUCAACCUCAAAAUCGCAGUCGAAACUAUUAGGCUAGAGUAUAGUAGGGGUAAAGGGAAUUUCCAGUGGAGCGGUGAAAUGCGUAGAGAUUGGAAAGAACACCGAUGGCGAAAGCACCUUACUGGGCUAUUACUAACACUCAGAGACGAAAGCUAGGGUAGCAAAUGGG